AUUGUACUCCCUCCGUCCCAAAUUUCUUUUCUUAGAUUUGUUUAAAUAUGAAUGUAUCUAGUUACAUUUUAGUGUUAGAUACAUCCGUAUCUAAACAAAUUUAAGACAAGAAUUUUGGGACGGAGGGAGUAGUUG
rnacentral:pre_miRNA from 1 species